rnacentral:rRNA from 1 species
UACAGAGGGGGCGAGCGUUGUUCGGAAUUACUGGGCGUAAAGGGCGCGUAGGCGGCCUUCUAAGUCGAACGUGAAAUCCCCGGGCUCAACCCGGGAACUGCGUCCGAUACUGGGAGGCUUGAAUCCGGGAGAGGGAUGUGGAAUUCCAGGUGUAGCGGUGAAAUGCGUAGAUAUCUGGAGGAACACCGGUGGCGAAGGCGGCAUCCUGGACCGGUAUUGACGCUGAGGCGCGAAAGCCAG